UGGGGCGGAGAUGUGACGAAGUGGGACUGUUCUUAAUGUUUCCUCUGAACAUUGUGGGGGUGCCUCAGUUUCCCCUAGGCAGUUCUUAAGUCUCUAGGGGGUGGGGUAAGGGUGUAUGAUCAUUGCAGAGCCCUAGAAGGCAGGUGUGUGCAGGGGUCUGGACACAGAGAAUGGCCGACACCCUGUUUCCUGGCAACUGAUGGCCUGGGCCCUUCCCCCCUGCAAGGUGAGAGCUAAAGGGUUGGAGAACAAAGGAAUCCGGUGACCUUCUGGCCCCGGAAAGGGACAAAGCCCAGAGGAGGGGGGGCUGGAGGGAGUUUCAGUUUGGGGCUGGCUGGGGACGAGGAGUGAAGGGCAGACAGGGUUGUCUGGCUCACUGCCCCCCAAAAUGGAUCCAGCUGAGGGGUCCUGUUCUCUGCACCUGCAAGCUCUGUGUUAGACCAUGUUCCUGUUGUCUAAUAAACCUCCUGUUUCCCCGGCUGGCGGAGAGUCAUGUCUGACUGCGGAGUUGAGGGGCAGGACCCUCUGGCCCCCCUAGGAUCCCGCUUGAGCGGACUCACUGUGGGAAGCGCCCGGAGGGGCAGAGGAGGCUGAAUGCUCCGAGGUCAGACACAGGAAGGUGGAGCCGGGUGAGCUGUGUGUCCUGCAGACAGGCUGCUCCCCGAGAGGAGACUGCCCCAGAGUCCUGCCCGGCUCCGGAGGGAGCAGUUCCAGAGCAUCGCCCAGGGCCUCCGUGACACCUGGGCCCAGCAGUGCCUAGCAGCCCCCUGCAGCUCGGGGCGGACAGAGGGACUAGAGCAGGGAGUGCUGGGAGCCAGGAUGCCUGGGUUCACUUCCUGACGGGCUGAUACGGUUUCCCCCUUCACGGGGCUGGAGCUGAGCUCGGCAUCACUACCCAGCCCCACCCCACUGGGCCCCCGUUCAGUCAAUAAACACGGCUUUGGAAGGGGGAAACACUACAAUACCCACCUGCGGAAGUGAAGAAACAGAUUGACAGAGCCAGAAGAGUUCCCAGAAGUCACCUACUACAGGACAGGCCCAACAAAGAAAAUAACAGAAUGCCACUAGCCGUCACCUUCAGCCCCCAACUAAAACCCCUCCAGCGCAUCAUCAAAGAUCUACAACCUAUCCUGAAGGACGACCCAUCACUCUCACAGAUCUUGGGAGACAGGCCAGUCCUUGCCUACAGACAGCCCCCCAACCUGAAGCAAAUACUCACCAGCAACCACAUACCACACAACAGAACCACUGACCCAGGAACCUAUCCUUGCAACAAAGCCCAUUGCCAACUGUGCCCACAUAUCUAUUCAGGGGACACCAUCACAGGGCCUAAUCACAUCAGCCACACGAUCAGAGGCUCGUUCCCCUGCGCAUCCACCAACGUGAUCUGUGCCAGCAAUGCCCCUCUGCCAUGUACAUCGGCCAAACCGGACAGUCUCUAUGCAAAAGAAUAAAUGGACACAAAUCAGAUGUCAAGAAUUAUAACAUUCAUAAACCAGUCGGAGAACACUUCAAUCUCUCUGGUCACGUGAUUACAGACAUGAAAGUUGCGAUAUUACAACAGAAAAACUUCAAAUCCAGACUCCAGCGAGAAACUGCUGAAUUGGAAUUCAUUUGCAAAUUGGAUACAAUUAACUUAGGCUUGAAUAGAGACUGGGAGUGGCUAAGCCAUUAUGCAAGGUAACCUAUUUCCCCUUGUUUUCCUAACCCCCCCCCCCCCCUUCCUCAGACGUUCUUGUUAAACCCUGGAUUUGUGCUGGAAAUGGCCCACCUUGAUUAUCAUACACAUUGUAUCCUACGCUUUACAUAAGCUAUUACCAGCAGGAGAGUGGGGUGGGGAGAGAGAAAACCUUUUGUAGUGGUAACACCCAUUGUUUCAUGUUCUCUAUGUAUAUAAAUCUCCCCACUGUAUUUUCCACAGUGAGCAUCCGAUGAAGUGAGCUGUAGCUCAGGUGAGCUCAUGCUCAAAUAAAUGUGUUAGUCUCUA